rnacentral:rRNA from 1 species
UACGGGGGGAGCAAGCGUUGUUCGGAUUUACUGGGCGUAAAGGGCGCGUAGGCGGUCAGCACAAGUCAGUUGUGAAAUCUCCGAGCUUAACUCGAAAAGGUCAACUGAUACUGUGCGACUAGAGUGCGGAAGGGGCAACUGGAAUUCUUGGUGUAGCGGUGAAAUGCGUAGAUAUCAUGAGGAAGACCAGUGGCGAAGGCGGGUCUCUGGACAGUUCCUGAUACUGAGACACGAAGGCCAGGGGAGCAAACGGG